rnacentral:tRNA from 1 species
GGUCUUAUAGUAAAAAUUACAUUAGAUUGCAAAUCUAAAAAUGUGCUUGGCACUAAGACUU